AGGUGUUGAAUUGUUAGUUUUUCAGAACUUGUCCAAAUGGAUGAAGAUACACAUUGCAAUAAAGUUGAAGAUGUUGUUGGAAGUCAUGUAGAAGAUGCCGUAACGUUUUGGGCCCAGAAGAGGGCAUUGGAUCCCUGGAACUAGAGUUACAGACAAUU